rnacentral:lncRNA from 1 species
GGUCUACUCUGCUGGUGAUGCUUUCAUUUGAGCUUUUAAUUUGGUUUAUUGUUUCUUUCAUUUCAAGUAUUUCUGUUCUUUUUUUUUUGGACCUCUAUCUCCAUGUUGCUUCCUGUAUUUGUCAAAGUGAUCUUUCACUGCCUGUAUUUGCUCUCUUCCUUGAGUUCACAGAACAUUCUAACCAUGCAUAUCCUAAACUCCUUCUCUGUAAAUUCUUCUUCUGUGGCUUCCAAUGAUUGUAAUGAUGUGGUGUCUUCAUUUGUUUGGGGCACUUUCUUCCCUUGUCUUUUCAUGUUGCUCGUGUGUCUUCCUUUCCAUCUCUAUGGGUCUGGAGUGCUCUUGUAGGGUUCCAAGACCUCUCCUUUGUGGGGAAGGGCAGUGUUAACAGAUCCCAAUAUCAACAGUAUACCACUUAUGAACAAUUUGUUGUUAUUAAGAUUUCUACCAUUUAAUCUCAAUGUCCAGAAUUGUUGGAUUCAAUUAUUAUCUAAAAUAUAAUCAGUAGUUUUAUAAAAAGGUUUCCAGUUUCUGACAGUGGAGAAUGAACUGGGGGUAGGGUGUAGGACGAUAUGCUGAGGAGGUAGUAUAGUGAGGAUAUAGAGCUAAUAUAUAUUAGGAAGUGCAAAAUAGAAAUCUAAUGAAAAGGGUUAGUAGCAAGAGAAUAGACAGGAAGUAAUUUAGGGUAGACAAGUACGUGGGAAGACAGUGGAGUACAUAAAACAAACACACAUAUGUAUUUAGAAAAAUACAGAUGUUAAAAUAGUAAAAUUUGGAGGAGAAAAGAAAAAUGAAAGAAGAAAAAGGUAAUAUACAACACCUC